rnacentral:rRNA from 1 species
UUAGACGGGAACCCGCACAAGCGUGGAGUAUGUUGUUUAAUUCGAAGAUACACGAAGAACCUUACCAGGUCUUGACAUACCAUUGGCAGGCACAGAGAUGUGCUCUCCUUCGGGCAAUGGAUACAGGUGGUGCAUGGUUGUCGUCAGCUCGUGCCGUGAGAUGUUGGGUUAAGUCCCGCAACGAGCGCAACCCCUGUGGUUAGUUGCCAGCAAGUAGCGUUGGGCACUCUAGCCAGACUGCCGGUGAUAAAUCGGAGGAAGGUGGGGACGACGUCAAAUCAUCAUGCCCUUUAUGUCCUGGGCUACACACGUACUACAAUGGCCGUUACAACGGGAAGCGAAGGAGCAAUCCGGAGCAAAUCCCUUAAAGGCGGUCCCAGUUCAGAUUGUGGGCUGAAACUCGCCCACAUGAAGGCGGAAUUGCUAGUAAUUGCAGAUCAGCAUGCUGCCAGUCGAAUACGUUCCGGGCCUU